rnacentral:rRNA from 1 species
AUACGUAGGUGGCGAGCGUUGUCCGGAAUUACUGGGUGUAAAGGAUGCGUAGGCGGAUAGUCAAGUCAGAUGUGAAAUACCCGGGCUUAACUUGGGAAUUGCAUUUGAAACUGAUUAUCUGGAGUACAGGAGAGGAAAGCAGAAUUUCUGGUGUAGCGGUGAAAUGCGUAGAUAUCAGGAAGAAUACCGGUGGCGAAGGCGGCUUUCUGGACUGUAACUGACGCUGAGGCAUGAAAGCGUGGGGAGCAAACAGGAUUAGAUACCCUGGUAGUCCACGCUGUAAACGAUGAAUACUAGGUGUAGGGGGUGUUAAUCCUUCUGUGCCGCAGCAAACGCAAUAAGUAUUCCGCCUGGGGAGUACGGUCGCAAGAUUAAA